AUUGUUUUUCAUAUUUUUGUCUACACUUUGCAAUUAUUUGCUCACACCAUAAAGGUUUAGGCUGUCUAAAAAUAUAAAAAGAUAUAUCAGAAGUAAUUUCCAAAAAUAUUCACAUGUUGUGUAGAAUUUCUGCACCCAGUCUAGUGUUUAGUUCCGUGUGUAGUUUAAGAUGGAGCAGCUUAGCCCAAACUGUUUCAUUUUACAAAUUUAAACUGCCACAUGUACCAUUUAGCUUUGACCCUAAGAUUAUGUGAUGGAGAUAAUCAAAAGAAAAAUAUAGCAGUUCUAUCGCUUCUUGGUGCCAGAUAAAAGGUCUGUGUCGCUGUUGGUCCUUCGCUUACGGCCAUACCACCCUGAACACGCCCGAUCUCGUCUGAUCUCGGAAGCUAAGCAGGGUCGGGCCUGGUCAGUACUUGGAUGGGAGACCGCCUGGGAAUACCAGAUAAAGAGUCUGUGUGGCUGUUGGUCCUUCGCUUACGGCCAUACCACCCUGAACACGCCCGAUCUCGUCUGAUCUCGGAAGCUAAGCAGGGUCGGGCCUGGUCAGUACUUGGAUGGGAGACCGCCUGGGAAUACCAGGUGCUGUAAGCUUUU